GGAAAAGCACUUAUUUGUGAGGAAAUUCUGGUUUGUUGACUAACCUAAAAGGGACUACUAAACUCUAUAUAUUAUCUUUUAAUUAGUAAAUAUAUAUAUUAAAUAUGAAUAAAUUAUAAAUAAAAAUAGAUUCUUUAAAGGGAUAGUUCACCCAAAAAUCAAAAUUAUGUCAUUAAUGACUCACCCUCAUGUCGUUCCAAACCCGUGAGACCUCCGUUCAUCUUCGGAGCACAGUAUAUGAUAUUUUAGAUUUACUCCGAGAGCUUUCUGUCCCUCCAUUGAGAAUGUAUGUACGGUAUACUGUCCACGUCCAGAAAGGUAAUAAAAACAUCUUCAAAGUAGUCCAUGUGACAUCAGAGGGUCCGUUAGAAUUUUUUUAAGCAUCGAAAAUACAUUUUGGUCCAAAAAUAUAAAAAACUACGACUUUAUUCAGCAUUGACUUCUCUCCCGGGUCUGUUAUGAGCACGUUCACAGCACAUCCGGUUCGCGAACGAAUCACUCGAUGUAACCGGAUCUUCUUGAACCAGUUCACCAAAUCGAACUGAAUCGUUUGAAACGGUUCGCGUCAACAAUAUGCAUUAAUCCACAAAUGACUUAAGCUGUUAAUUUUUUACAGUUUUUCUCAAAUGCUAAAACACAAAAGCCAAUCCUCUAAACCAAAUGACCAGUUGUCUAAACACAUUUACUAAAUCUAGCCAUCAUUUUCCAAUAUCAUAAACACAUUUCACAUGAAGACACAAUUCACAAAACACAAUCCUCCGUUCUCAUAAAUCUUAACACAUUUUUUUUUGCUAAAACACAAGUUGCAGAAGAACUCUGCUCAUAUUCUCAAAUGAAAGCUCAUGUGAUGCAAAAUGCUUGCCACAGUCAGCAAUAUUUGAACACAACGACGACUCAAAAUUGAAGACACUUGUUGCUUAUGCUGUGACCACAUGUAUAAAAGCAAGUUCAGAGUGCACAGUUUGCUGAAGAUUCCAAACAAACACAAUGGAUGAAGGCAGAGUCAGGGGAAGAGGAAUUCGAGUCAGAGGAGGGAGAAAAGCUGGCCAUGGAAGAAGAGGAGCAGGCCAACGAGGAAGAGGAGUUCAAAUCAGUGGAGGAAGAGGAGCAGGCCAACGAGGAAGAGGAGUUCAAAUCAGUGGAGGAAGAGGAGCAGGCCAACGAGGAAGAGGAGAAGGUCCAGGAGGGAGAGCAAGACAACCUCGCACCAUCAUUACGGACGAGAUGCGAGCAACAUUCAUUGACCAUGUCAUUGUCCAUGGCAUGACAAUGGCUGAAGCAGGACUACGAGUCCGUCCAAACCUGAGUAGGUUCACCGUGGCCACCAUUAUCAGGGCAUUCAGACAACACAACAGAGUUGAAAGAAUGCCACAUAGAGGUGGGAGGUUUGCCAUAUUUACAGCGGCACAAGAAACCCUCAUUGUGGAUAUGGUCCGUGAGAACAACCUCAUCAGACUCCGGGAGAUCAGAGACAAAGUCAUUGCCGAUAAUGUCAACUUUGAGAGCAUUGAUGUCAGCUUGGCCACAAUAGACCGUGUUCUCCGGAGCCAAAAGAUGCGGAUGAAACAGGUCUAUAGGGUUCCCUUUGAGCGCAACUCUGUGCGACACAAAGACCUACGUUACGAGUAUGUGCAUAGGAUAUUACAGUUGGACGUGAUGGCCAGACCUCAUGAGUACCUCUUCCUGGAUGAGGCUGGCUUCAACCUGCAGAAACGAAGGCAAAGAGGCCGUAACAUCAUUGGCCAAAGAGCCAUCACUGAGGUUCCUGGCCAAUGGGGGGGGCGGGGUAAUAUUACUCUUUGUGCAGCCAUUGGUUUGGAGGGGCUUGUCCACCGGCAUGCUGUCCUUGGGUCUUACAACACCCAACGUCUCCUCACCUUCCUAGAGGAGCUAAAAGACAUCCUCCUGGACCGCCAAUAACACCAUCCUGGGCCCGCACAUCACAUUUGUGUGAUCAUUUGGGACAAUGUACGCUUCCACAAAACAAACCAAAUCAGAGAGUGGUUCUCCACCAACAGUAACCACUUUUUAAACGUCUGUCUGCCACCCUACUCCCCUUUCCUGAACCCUAUAGAGGAGUUCUUCUCAUCGUGGAGAUGGAAGGUUUAUGACAGACAACCAUACACUAGAGAGAACCUCCUAAGGGCAAAGGAGCUGGCCUGUGUUGACAUCCCAGUGGAGGCCUUCCAAGGAUGGAUUUGCCAUUCCAGGGUAUUUUUCCUGCGGUGCCUGGCAAGAGACAAUAUAGCCUGCGACGUGGAUGAGGUGAUGUGGCCCGAUGCAGCUCAGCGACAUGAUGCUGCACAGUGAUUGUGGUGUGUGUGGUGUGAAUAAAGUAAAUAAAAAUAAAAAAAAAACUUCACACCCUGAUCAUGUUUUCAAGAGUACUGUUGUGUGCAAUAGAUUCUGUUUUUGCAUUGAGUUGUUACAGUAGUGUACAUGCAGAAUUUACUAUAGACUUAUACUCUUCAUAUGAAACUCACAAAUCUAAAUGCCUAAUCCUCUGCAGAGAUCUAAGAACAUCUAUUACUGUAAAGUUUCUAAAAAUAUGCAUUGUUAGUUAUGAAACAAAGAACCUUCUCACAAAUUGAGCAUUGUGUUUUCAAUUGUUUUGCUGUAGUGUGUAAUGAUGUGUAUAGUGUUUACAUUUUUGAAAGCUUCGAGCUGCUCUUUUGGUGUGAAAGUUUGAGUUUUGAAGUGAGAAGGUGUGGUUGUGUUUAUGUAGCUUUAGAAAAGGGUGUUGUGUUUAGACAUUGGGGAACAUGAAGGAAACGUUUGUGAAAUGUGUUUUAGCAUUUGAGAAAAACUGUAAACAUGGCUGACACUCCCUCUGAGUUCAAAUAAACCAAUAUCCCGGAGUAAUUCAUUUACUCAAACAGUACACUGACUGAACCGAGCCAGAUAACGAACGAAACAUUGACUCGUUCUCGAGUCAAGAACCGUUUCUGUCGGACGCGUGCGAUUCGAGAACCGAGGAGCUGAUGAUACUGCGCAUGCGUGAAGCAGACUGACACACAGCGCGUCUGAACCGAACUGGUUCUUUUGGUGAUUGAUUCUGAACUGAUUCUGUGCUAAUGUUAUGAGCGCGGAUAAACCGAAGGCUUGAAUCAAGGGCAAUCAUCGCCAAUGAAGUCAUUACGUCGAGCGCAAAAGAACUGGUGAACCGUUUUCGGCAACCGGUUUAUUGAAUCAAACUGUCCGAAAGAACCGGUUCGCGGACAAGAACAGAACUUCCCAUCACUACCGGUGAUCCGAAAACCGAUGCAACCGGUUCUUGACUCGAGAACGAGUCAAUGUUUCGUUCGUUAUCUGGCUCGGUUCAGUCAGUGUACUGUUUGAGUAAAUGAAUUACUCCGGGAUAUUGGUUUAUUUGAACUCAGAGGGAGUGUCAGCCAUGUUAAAAAAGUUAACAGCUUAAGUCAUUUGUGGAUUAAUGCUUAUUGUUGACGCGAACCGUUUCAAACGAUUCAGUUCGAUUUGGUGAACUGGUUCAAGAAGAUCCGGUUACAUCGAGUGAUUCGUUCGCGAACCGGAUGUGAGGUGAACGCGCUCAUAACAGACCCGGGAGAGAAGUCAAUGCUGAAUAAAGUCGUAGUUUUUGAUAUUUUUGGACCAAAAUGUAUUUUCGAUGCUUCAAAAAAUUCUAACGGACCCUCUGAUGUCACAUGGACUACUUUGAAGAUGUUUUUAUUACCUUUCUGGACGUGGACAGUAUACCGUACAUACAUUCUCAAUGGAGGGACAGAAAGCUCUCGGACUAAAUCUAAAAUAUCUUAUACUGUGUUCCGAAGAUGAACGGAGGUCUCACGGGUUUGGAACGACAUGAGGGUGAGUCAUUAAUGACAUAAUUUUGAUUUUUGGGUGAACUAUCCCUUUAACUGUUCCAUUUAAAUCUGAUUUGCUUUCUCUGCUGUGGAGUCAAGACAUUUGCAAAUAUGAUUAAAAGAUGAAUAUGCGUCAAAACUACAGAAUGUCAUAUUUUAUUAUUAGGUCUUUCGACACAUACAUGUUUUACCAAAUAAAAAGGACAGCACUUUUAGAGUUCAUCCCACUAUUUGAUGUGAGCAUAAGUAUUGGAACAGUUGAAUUUAAGGUAGAUGUAAAAGAUUAAAAGCUAAUAUUUAGUUGAAGAUCCCUUGCAUGCAAUCAGAGCAGUGAGUCUGCAACCCAUAGACAUCACCAGACUCUUGGUCUUAUGCUUUGAAAUACUUUUCCCCAGCCUUUAAUGCAGCCAAUUCCAACUGGUGCUUGUUUUGGGGAGUUUCUGUCUUUAGUGUCCUCUUCAGCUGGUGAAAUUAAUGUUCAAUCGGAUUUAAAUCUGGAGAUUGAUUUGGGCAACAUUUCUUUGCCCUGAUAAAGUAUUUGACUGAACUGGCAAGGUGCUUUGGGUCAUUGUUCUGAUCCAAUAUGAAGUGCUGUCUAAUGAGUUUGCUGGCAUUUUCUUGAAUAUUGGUAGCCAAGAUGAUUUUGUACCCUUCCAAAUUCAUUCAAUCAUGACACCACCUCCACUAAGCUUUACAGAUGAAGCUGCAUUUUUAGGAUCAUUUGCAGCUCCCUUUUUUCUCCACACUUUUGCUUUGCAAUCACUUAGAUAAAGGUUAAUCUUUGUCUCAUCGGUCCAUCAACUCAGUUCCAAAACUCUACUGGCUCACAUUUGUGAAGAAUCUUGCCUUUAUAUUUUUGGUGCUGAUCAGAGGUUUGCAUCUUGCUGUGUAGCUUCUGUAAUUCUGUGUCAAAUUCUCCUGCGGUCUGUAGAUUGACAGAGCAUCAGCCCAGCAUUCUGGAGGUUGUUGGUGAUUUUACAGACAUGUAUUUUAGGGUUCAUUUUCACAGCUUUUAUGAUUUGUCUGUCAUCAACUACUGUUUGUUUUUCUCAGCCGAUCAGGUCGUUGUUGGUUGCUGAUGUCGCCGGUAGUUUCUAAACUCUUGAUUUCUCCAUGCCCUUUGUUUUCCUAUAGCUCUAAUUGACUUCCUCUUUUCUUUUAGCAUCCAAAUUACUUGCAUUUCUUUCAGAGUCGUCUUCCUUGUCUUCAUCCUGGUUUGUGUGUGUCAUCAUCGAAUGCAAGACUUAGAAUGCAGAAGCAAUGGAUAUAACUGAUAACACAUAUUCCCUGCUUUUAAUAUCUGAAGAAUUAAUGCAACAGGACACAGCUGAACACUUAGAAAGACCUGUGAGGCAACUGUUCCAAUACUUAUGCUCACAUCAGAUAGGGAGAUGAAACUCUAAAAGUGCUGAUCUUCUUAGCUGGUAAAACAUCUUUGUGUUGAAUCACCCAAUAAUAAAAUGUGACAUUCUGUAAUUUUGUCUCAUAUUCAUCUUUUAAUUAUAUUUACAGAUUUCUUGACUCCACACCAAACAGAACAAUUUUGUCUUAACUGUUCCAAUACUUAUGGAGGGCACUAUAUAUACUAUAAUUACUUUCAAUUUUAUUUAGAUAGAUGUUACGUGUCGAUGUAAUCUGUGUGCCAUUGUUCUAUUCACCUUAGUCUGAUUGUAAUGCAGCGUUUUGGUUACAAAACUUAAUUAGGCUUUACUUCAAUUUAAGAGAUAAACCUCAUUUCUAUUAUACUUAAGAGCAUAGAAAACAUUUUGGAAGCACACAAGAGCAUAUGAAAAACAGGAAAAGCAGCUGAAAGCUGGAAGAUUUCCUUUUCAAAGUUUUCCAUGCCAGAGUCAAAAUAUGGCUGGCAUCCGGAAAACAUUAUCUUUUAUCAGCCCACAGAGAGAGAGAAAGGGGGUGAGAUAGAAAGAAACAAAGCGAAACAAAGAGAAAGUAAGAAACAUGAGUGGUGGGGGCCAGUGGGAAGAUGGUGUGAGAUUUUUCCAUUCUGAGCAACAAAAAAUAGAAGUGCUAUAACGAAAAACACAAAGCGUUUCCUAUAGGAAACAUCAUUACAUGCGCACAACACAAUCCUUUCUUCAUUCAACUAAUAUUAUACAGGAGUGAAGAAGAAGUCUAAAAAAACAUCCUUGUGUGACAACCUGGUCUCCCUUAUUACUACAGACAGCUUAAGAUAUUAUUCAAAUUAGCAUGUGCUUUAACAAAUUCAUGCUCAUGUAUACAGCACUAAGACUCAAAUGGAUGUA
ensembl:lncRNA